rnacentral:rRNA from 1 species
UACGAAGGGUGCGAGCGUUGUUCGGAAUUACUGGGCGUAAAGGGUUUGUAGGCUGAAAUGUAAGUCAAGUGUGAAAUCCCCGAGCUAAACUUGGGACGUGCAUUUGAAACUGUGUUUCUUGAGUAUCGUAGAGGGUGGUGGAAUUGUAGGUGUAGGAGUGACAUCCGUAGAGAUCUGCAGGAACAUCAGAGGCGAAGGCGACCACCUGGCCGAUUACUGACGC